rfam:Myotis davidii contig150818, whole genome shotgun sequence.
GACAGUUUUUGGGUGAUGCACCACAGAAUCAGGCUUCCUCCUCUCUGGUUCCAGGUGCGUCACCUGAGAACUGCA